rnacentral:snRNA from 1 species
GUACUUCGGUACAUUUGGUCAAUUUGAAACAAUACAGAGAGUACGUUUGACCCCAACUACCUGAGUUCGAUCCUGACUAACAACUUCGCAGAGAUUAGCAUGGCGUAAGUCUGGCGAUUUCGAAGUAUUACGACACACACUGACACUUACACAGCCCUGCACUAAGGAUGACACAUGCAAACAAAGCAGAGCAAACCAUUUUU